CAGCCGCCGCGGUAAUACCGGCGGCCCGAGUGGCGGUCACUAUUAUUGGGCUUAAAGCGUCCGUAGCCGGGUUGGGAAGUCCUCCGGGAAAUCUGGCCGCUUAACGGUCAGAAUGCCGGAGGAUACUCCCAGCCUAGGGAGCGGGAGAGGCCGAGGGGAUUCCCGGAGUAGGGGGGAAAUCCUAUAAUCCCGGGAGGACCACCUGUGGCGAAGGCGCUCGGCUGGAACGCGUCCGACGGGGGGGGACGAAGGCCAGGGGAGCAAACCGGAUUAGAUACCCGGGUAGUCCUGGCUGUAAACGAUGCGGACUUUGUGUCGGACAAGCUAUGAGCUUGUCCGGUGCCGGAGGGAAACCGUUAAGUCCGCCGCCUGGGGAGUACGGCCGCAAGGCUGAAACUUAAAGGAAUUGGCGGG
rnacentral:rRNA from 1 species